CGGCCCUAAGCUGUCGUCUAUAGGUGCGUCCUGCUGGCGGGAAUGAAACGUUUGCCGCAGAAUACGUCACUCCCAUUUCUAGCGAGAUGCCGCCGGCGAUUAGCCGGCUUCAUUUUCUCUGGCGGUUGCCUCGGUCUAAUGGACCGCGGUCGUCCUGCGGCAAGACGCUUUUAAAUACAAGGCUACUCUCAAAAUCGACCGGCCAUGUUGGUUUGGACACACAUUCGCAUCAGUUCGUCGCUCAAUCGCGAGUUACAGCCUGCAGCCUGCUAGCUAGCAAAGUCAUCGACUACCAUCGUUUAAAUACCUUGGCCAGAGCAUAACCGGUUAUCUUCACCCAAGAGACCUACUAUUGGUCAAUCAUUUUGGCUUUAAAGGUAAAUGCAUUGUUAGUCACAAUGUCUAGUUACUGGGCCAAAAGGAAAAUAAUAUUGAAAAGAGUUGAGAGGGACAAACAGGACAUUCACUUGAAUCACUACAUGCUACAGAAGUUGCAUCGAUUCCAGAAAACCAGGAAAAUGUUGAGCCAUCUGUAGACUUCAGAGCUGGUAUGUAAAAUGUAUUGCUCUGAUGCUUAAUUUGUGAUCCUGUAAAUAAACUAUACACUUUGUUACAUUUUCAAAAUUCUGUUCCCUCUUUCUCAGAACCAGGUUUCUCCCCAGUAAUCCAGACUCCACAGAGCCAAUAGUUUGAGUACAAAUAAGUGAUUUUAUUUGUGACGUUUUUUUUGUCUUGGAAACUAUUGCUUCUAUUUAAUAUUAGGAAUCCUUUUAUCCAUAAUCUGUUUUUCAUUAGGGCACUUGACUUUCUGGAAAAUAGGUGUCGAGGUGUGUUGUACAUAUCAUUAGCUUUGCACAGUUCAAUUAUUGUUUCAUUACUGAAUAUGCAAUCUCUGCAGUGAAAUUAAAGCUGUUAUGUUUGUUCCCCCCGCUCGUCAAGUACUAAGCUUUACACCACCAGCAGCAAAUUUACCCUGGCAGCAUAUGGGUGAAAACGCUGGGGGUGUGUAAAUACGUUGCGCUAAACUAAGUUUUACAUUUAAGUCCAAUUCAUUAAAUGUAUGCAAUUACUUCCAACAUAUUUUUACGUCAAUGAUUAUCAAUAGGAGAAAGUAAUCGCUUUGUUAUUGGCCCUUGGACGCCCCUGGCAUCUCUUGUACAGCACAAAGUUUUCAGCUAUGAAAGUAUAUUCUAGGCAUAUGUCUUAUUGUCCAGUGUUUUAACAGUAGUGAAAAUACUGCCUUUAGUAGUUUUAAAAAAAAAAUUAUGUAGAUUUCCAGAGACUCCAGAAUGAGGGAAUCUCUGAGGGAGGACAACCAAGCCCUGAGGGAAUGCAAUGCACAAGCAGCUUCGGAUGACAGCGGCUCACUUCAAGAGCAGGUGAAGCAAGUAGGGUCAAUGUUGAAGACAUUUGCUCUCACUGGGCAAUCAGGUGCGUUACCUGAAAGGAGCAUCUGACCGUGAAGGCAGAAAAAGGCGCCGCACAGCUGAGAAGGACCCACAGCCGACCCCUUAAACCUAGGCUGACUACUGACACCCCAGCAUCACUGACAACUGGAACACUUUCUUUAUCGUGCAGUCAGUAACAUCAAGAAGCCAGAAGUGCCAGACUACAAUCACCAUAUCCACCCUGUUUUUUUUGUAUUUUAACUUUAGUAUUGGCUUAUUUCAUUCUGUCUUAACGAUUCUAUUAUAGUUUGUAAAUCCUAUUUCAUACCUGUUACUUGAUAUUGCACAUUAACUAGUACCAAAAUUCUACUUUCAUUUCAUCAUUGUGCUUAACUGUUAUUCUAUUAAUAAUAGCUUGGAAAUACUAUUUACUACCUCUGAUACUUGAUAUUGCACAUUACCUGGUACCAAAUAAUCUAUUUAGUCUGUUUUUAACAUCAGCAUUUUUCAUUCCAUCACAGUGCUUAACUGUUAUUCUAUUGUUAAAUAUAUCUUGUAAAUCCUUGUGCCACAGGUCGGCUUUGCAGUUAUAAUGGUCUGUUCUACUACUGUUUUUACCUCCGUAUUUUUAUAUAAAUAAAUAUGUCAAGUUUUGUUUAUCACAGAUACAAGAGACACAGAUCUUAUUGCAGCACGGUGUAAAUCUUGUGCUCCAGGUCAGCAAUGCCAUGAUAAUGGUCUAUUCUACUCUAGAGCUUUACUCUAAAUUAUUACCACUUUUCUUAUUGUUAGAAAUGGCUUGAAAAUGUGAUGUUAUACCUCGAUUUAUUUGGUAUCCUGCACAUUCUUUGGUACCAAAUAUCCUCAUUACUUGUUAUGUUUACUGGUAAUUAUUUUCAUCCCAGAGCUGACCACUUUAUAUUAUUAACAAUUAUUGUGUUUGUGUUAUAAUUUGCUUGUAUGGCUGUUUUUUUUUACCAACAUUUAAUUGGAAACCUGCAUGUUCUGUAGUGUGUAUUUAUAUGUAUAUUUUUUUCUGCCUGUUAUUUAUUUCAGUGAUCUGACACAUCUUGUUUGAAUGACAGUUACUGUACUUUGAAAUGUGG
ensembl:lncRNA